CUGUUGGUAAGGUAAAAGCUUACCAAGGCUUCGAUCAGUAGCUGGUCUGAGAGGACGACCAGCCACACUGGGACUGAGACACGGCCCAGACUCCUACGGGAGGCAGCAGUGGGGAAUUUUGGACAAUGGGGGCAACCCUGAUCCAGCCAUGCCGCGUGAGUGAAGAAGGCCUUCGGGUUGUAAAGCUCUUUCAGCCGGAACGAAACGGUUACGGUUAACACCCGUGACUACUGACGGUACCGGAAGAAGAAGCACCGGCUAACUACGUGCCAGCAGCCGCGGUAAUACGUAGGGUGCGAGCGUUAAUCGGAAUUACUGGGCGCAAAGCGUGCGCAGGUGGUUUUGUAAGUCAGAUGUGAAAGCCCCGGGCUCAACCUGGGAACUGCGUUUGAAACUACAAGACUAGAGUGUGGCAGAGGGGGGUGGAAUUCCGCGUGUAGCAGUGAAAUGCGUAGAGAUGUGGAGGAACACCGAUGGCGAAGGCAGCCCCCUGGGUCAACACUGACGCUCAGGCACGAAAGCAUGGGGAGCAAACAGGAUUAGAUACCCUGGUAGUCCAUGCCCUAAACGAUGUCAACUAGUUGUCGGGCCUUUACGGGCUUGGUAACGUAGCUAACGCGUGAAGUUGACCGCCUGGGGAGUACGAUCGCAAGAUUAAAACUCAAAUGAAUUGACGGGGACCCGCACAAGCGGUGGAUUAUGUGGAUUAAUUCGAUGCAACGCGAAAAACCUUACCUACCCUUGACAUGUAUCGAAGCCCGCAGAAAAGCGGGGGUGCCCGAAAGGGAACGAUAACACAGGUGCUGCAUGGCUGUCGUCAGCUCGUGUCGUGAGAUGUUGGGUUAAGUCCCGCAACGAGCGCAACCCUUGUCAUUAAUUGCCAUCAUUUAGUUGGGCACUUUAAUGAGACUGCCGG
rnacentral:rRNA from 1 species